rnacentral:rRNA from 1 species
AUUGAACGCUGGCGGCAUGCUUUACACAUGCAAGUCGAACGGUAACAGGUUAAGCUGACGAGUGGCGAACGGGUGAGUAGUGCAUCGGAACGUGCCCGGUCGUGGGGGAUAACGCAGCGAAAGCUGCGCUAAUACCGCAUACGAUCUGAGGAUGAAAGCGGGGGACCGUAAGGCCUCGCGCGACCGGAGCGGCCGAUGUCAGAUUAGGUAGUUGGUGGGGUAAAGGCUCACCAAGCCGACGAUCUGUAGCUGGUCUGAGAGGACGACCAGCCACACUGGGACUGAGACACGGCCCAGACUCCUACGGGAGGCAGCAGUGGGGAAUUUUGGACAAUGGGCGCAAGCCUGAUCCAGCAAUGCCGCGUGCAGGAAGAAGGCCUUCGGGUUGUAAACUGCUUUUGUACGGAGCGAAAAGGCUCUCUCUGAUACAGGGGGCUCAUGACGGUACCGUAAGAAUAAGCACCGGCUAACUACGUGCCAGCAGCCGCAGUAA